rnacentral:rRNA from 1 species
UACCGGCAGCUCGAGUGAUGGCCGAUUUUAUUGGGCCUAAAGCGUCCGUAGCUGGCCCUGCAAGUCCGUCGGGAAAUCCACUCGCCUAACGAGUGGGCGUCCGGCGGAAGCUACAGGGCUUGGGACCGGAAGACUUGAGGGGUACGUCGGGGGUAGGAGUGAAAUCCUGUAAUCCUGGCCGGACCGCCGAUGGCGAAAGCACCUCAAGACGACGGAUCCGACAGUGAGGGACGAAAGCUAGGGUCUCGAACCGG